UAUUGAGCAAUCGAUUCGGGU
ensembl:piRNA 21ur-10419 ncRNA